rnacentral:rRNA from 1 species
UACGUAGGGUGCAAGCGUUGUUCGGAAUCAUUGGGCGUAAAGCGCGUGUAGGCGGUUAGUUAAGUCGGGUGUGAAAUCCCUCAGCUCAACUGAGGAAGUGCAUCCGAAACUGGCUAGCUAGAGAAUGGUAGAGGGAGGUGGAAUUCCUAGUGUAGAGGUGAAAAUUCGUAGAUAUUAGGAGGAAUACCGGUGGCGAAGGCGGCCUCCUGGACCAUUUCUGACGCUGAGACGCGAAAGCGUGGGGAG